GGCCACCUCUGUCCUCCCCGCCAUCUCCGGCCACAUGUACACGUUCAGGGUCGUCGUUGCCGGCGCAACUCCGGUGACUACCCAAGCCAAGUCCUCCCCUUCCUACCUCCCUGGUGUCUACCGCGUCGAGCGCGCCUCUUCCCCGAGCCCCUCGCGCCUCCUCCGUCAGAUUGUUGCUCGACGUGAGUUCCGCCAUGGACGUCAUAUCUGAGCUCUUUUUUGUUCAAGUCGCUGCGCCCUGCACAUGUCCAACUCCACCAGGACCAUCUCGUGCUUUGUUUCUUCACGGAUAAGACGUUGAGUUGAUGCGAGCUACGCCAAGUUCUCCGGAUGUUCCUCCGCCAUUUUUAACAGGCAAGAAUUUUCACACUUAUGUCUCUGCGGGAGUCUUUUACCUAUUUUAUUUUGCCUUCUC